CAAUAGCGUAUAUUUAAGUUGCUGCAGUUAAAAAGCUCGUAGUUGGAUUUCGGGUGGGAAUGGCCGGUCCGCCGUUUCGGUGUGCACUUGCUGCGCCCACCUUGCUGCCGGGGACGUGCUCUUGAGUUCACGCUCGGGACACGGAGUCGGCGAGGUUACUUUGAGUAAAUUAGAGUGUUCAAAGCAGGCCUACGCUCUGAAUACAUCAGCAUGGAAUAACACGAUAGGACUCUGGCCUAUCUUGUUGGUCUGUAGGACCGGAGUAAUGAUUAAGAGGGACAGUCGGGGGCAUUCGUAUUUCAUUGUCAGAGGUGAAAUUCUUGGAUUUAUGAAAGACGAACUACUGCGAAAGCAUUUGCCAAGGAUGUUUUCAUUAA
rnacentral:rRNA from 1 species